ACUAUCCCUAGAAGCUUGCAACUGUGGCUGCUGUGUUCUAUGUGCGUCAGUAGGUGGCAGACGGGAGAGGUUUUAUCUAAACUCAGUGUUCUGACCUAUGAACAUCUGGAUGAUUAGUAGCCUCACGCU